GAAGGUCAUUCCCCGUCUGUCAUCCAGCUGCGCAAUUUAGCGAAAUCGCGGUAGGCGCAAAGGCGACGGAGUCGGUCGUAACGGUAGGUUUAGGUUGACUGAAAAAUAAUUAAUUACUUUUUACACAAGAAAGUCUACACGACGCGAUUUUCACGGACUUCAACAUACUUUAUCGAUUCCAAGAAGGCAAUGAAAACUGCUUUUUGACAAUUUACAGCCCUAGCCCUUUUCCACUUUGCGCUUGGAACCGAGUCCAUAACACAGCAGUGAUAAGCAGGCGGUCGGCCUCGGGAGGAACUCUCCCUCUGCAGUGGUGUGAUAGUGAAUGAUAUCCUGCAUCCCAACCCCCAGCAACCAUCCCUUCCUCAGAGUGCUACUGAUGAU
rnacentral:lncRNA from 1 species